UACGGAGGGUGCAAGCGUUAAUCGGAAUUACUGGGCGUAAAGCGCACGCAGGCGGUUUGUUAAGUCAGAUGUGAAAUCCCCGAGCUUAACUUGGGAACUGCAUUUGAAACUGGCAAGCUAGAGUCUUAUAGAGGGGGGUAGAAUUCCAGGUGUAGCGGUGAAAUGCGUAGAGAUCUGGAGGAAUACCGGUGGCGAAGGCGGCCCCCUGGACAAAGACUGACGCUCAGGUGCGAAAGCGUGGGGAGCAAACAGG
rnacentral:rRNA from 1 species